UACGUAGGGUGCAAGCGUUAAUCGGAAUUACUGGGCGUAAAGCGUGCGCAGGCGGUUUUGUAAGUCUGUUGUGAAAUCCCCGGGCUCAACCUGGGAAUGGCAAUGGAGACUGCAAGGCUAGAGUUUGGCAGAGGGGGGUAGAAUUCCACGUGUAGCAGUGAAAUGCGUAGAGAUGUGGAGGAAUACCGAUGGCGAAGGCAGCCCCCUGGGAUAACACUGACGCUCAUGCACGAAAGCGUGGGGAGCGAACGGGG
rnacentral:rRNA from 1 species